AUACAGAGGGUGCAAGCGUUAAUCGGAUUUACUGGGCGUAAAGCGCGCGUAGGCGGUUUAGUAAGUCGGAUGUGAAAGCCCUGGGCUCAACCUGGGAAUUGCAUUCGAUACUGCUUGACUAGAGUAUGGUAGAGGGAAGUGGAAUUUCCGGUGUAGCGGUGAAAUGCGUAGAUAUCGGAAGGAACACCAGUGGCGAAGGCGACUUCCUGGGCCAAUUCUGACGCUGAGGUGCGAAAGCGUGGGGAGCAAACAGGAUUAGAAACCCCGGUAGUCC
rnacentral:rRNA from 1 species